AAUAGUAUAUAAUUAUUUAUUGAAACUUAAAUAUAUUGGCGGUAUUUUAGUUCAUUUAGAGGAAUCUGUUUAUUAAUUGAUAAUCCACGAUUAAAUUUACUUAAUUUAAUAUUUUGUAUAUCAUUGUUAAAAAAAUAUUUUUUAAUAAUUAUAAUAUUUUAAAAUUAUAAAAUAAAAUUAAAUCAAAUCAAGAUGCAGAUUAUAAUUAAGAAUAUAAUGGAUUACAAUAAAUUUAUUUAAAUGGAUUUUAAUUUGUAAUAAUUAAAUGAAGGUGGAUUUAAAUGUAAUUUUAUUA
rnacentral:rRNA from 1 species